AGAGCGAACGCUGGCGGCAGGCCUAACACAUGCAAGUCGAGCGCCCCGCAAGGGGAGCGGCAGACGGGAGAGUAACACGUGGGAACGUACCCUUCAGUUCGGAACAACCCAGGGAAACUUGAGCUAAUACCGGAUACGUCCGUAAGGAGAAAGAUUUAUCGCCGAAGGAUUGGCCCGCGUCCGAUUAGCUAGUUGGUGAGGUAAUGGCUCACCAAGGCGACGAUCGGUAGCUGGUCUGAGAGGAUGAUCAGCCUCACUGGGACUGAGACACGGCCCAGACUCCUACGGGAGGCAGCAGUGGGGAAUAUUGGACAAUGGGCGCAAGCCUGAUCCAGCCAUGCCGCGUGGGUGAUGAAGGCCCUAGGGUUGUAAAGCCCUUUCGGCGGGGAAGAUAAUGACGGUACCCGCAGAAGAAGCCCCGGCUAACUUCGCGCCAGCAGCCGC
rnacentral:rRNA from 1 species